rnacentral:rRNA from 1 species
CAAAGGAAUUGACGGGGCCGCACAAGCGGUGGAGCAUGUGGUUAAUUCGACGCAACGCGAAGAACCUUACCAGGGCUUGACAUCCCCUGACCGCGUAUGAAAGUACGUUUUCACCCUCGGGUGACAGGGAGACAGGUGGUGCAUGGUUGUCGUCAGCUCGUGUCGUGAGAUGUUGGGGUUAAAGUCCCGCAACGAGCGCAACCCCUACGUUUAGUUGCUAACGCGUGAAGGCGAGCACUCUAGACGAACUGCCGUUGACAAAACGGAGGAAGGUGGGGAUGACGUCAAAUCAUCAUGCCCUUUAUGACCUGGGCUACACACGUGCUACAAUGGCCUGUGCAAAGGGUAGCGAAGCCGCAAGGUGGAGCCAAUCCCAAAAAGCAGGUCUCAGUUCGGAUUGCAGGCUGCAACUCGCCUGCAUGAAGUCGGAAUCGCUAGUAAUCGCGGAUCAGCAUGCCGCGGUGAAUACGUUCCCGGGCCUU